GACGAACGCUGGCGGCGUGCUUAACACAUGCAAGUCGAACGGAAAGGCCCUGCUUGCAGGGUACUCGAGUGGCGAACGGGUGAGUAACACGUGGGUGAUCUGCCCUGCACUUCGGGAUAAGCCUGGGAAACUGGGUCUAAUACCGGAUAGGAGCCAUUUUUAGUGUGAUGGUUAGAAAGUUUUUUCGGUGUAGGAUGAGCUCGCGGCCUAUCAGCUUGUUGGUGGGGUAAUGGUCUACCAAGGCGGCGACGGGUAGCCGGCCUGAGAGGGUGGACGGCCACAUUGGGACUGAGAUACGGCCCAGACUCCUACGGGAGGCAGCAGUGGGGAAUAUUGCACAAUGGGCGCCAGCCUGAUGCAGCGACGCCGCGUGGGGGAUGACGGCCUUCGGGUUGUAAACUCCUUUCGCUAGGGACGAAGCUUUUUGUGACGGUACCUAGAUAAGAAGCACCGGCUAACUACGUG
rnacentral:rRNA from 1 species